rnacentral:rRNA from 1 species
CCUACGGGUGGCAGCAGUGGGGAAUAUUGGACAAUGGGCGAAAGCCUGAUCCAGCCAUGCCGCGUGUGUGAAGAAGGCCUUCGGGUUGUAAAGCACUUUCAGUGGGGAAGAAAGCCUUGGGGCUAAUACCCUCGAGGAAGGACAUCACCCACAGAAGAAGCACCGGCUAACUCCGUGCCAGCAGCCGCGGUAAUACGGAGGGUGCGAGCGUUAAUCGGAAUUACUGGGCGUAAAGCGCGCGUAGGCGGUCUGAUAAGCCGGUUGUGAAAGCCCCGGGCUCAACCUGGGAACGGCAUCCGGAACUGUCAGGCUAGAGUGCAGGAGAGGAAGGUAGAAUUCCCGGUGUAGCGGUGAAAUGCGUAGAGAUCGGGAGGAAUACCAGUGGCGAAGGCGGCUUUCUGGACUGACACUGACGCUGAGGUGCGAAAGCGUGGGUAGCAAACAGGAUUAGAUACCCUAGUAGUC